rnacentral:lncRNA from 1 species
GAGAAGCACCGCCUCACAGGAAAUAGAGGUUGGAGGGCAGGCCCACAGUUCCCGGGCUAUUUGAGCCUGCGGAGAUGCCUCAGUUCUGCGCACCUGCUUCUCUCACUGCUGGGACCUGUACGGCGGGGGCAGGUCCUUUAGAGAAGUUCCAUCUCGCCAAGUCGAACAAGGAUCUGUAUUCACAGUAUGAGUGAGCCCCCUGCAUUGGCCAUCUUCCCUGUUUUCUCGACCAGCACCAUCUACAGAAGCUGACAAUGACCAUUGGGUUUUCCAGUGGAUACCAGAACGCCCCUUCCUGCUGCCUGGAGGGAAGACAGGAUAACCGUUUGGCAGCAAGAGGGAAAAAUGAGAGAAAGCUUCCCUCGGACGUCAGUGAUCCUUGGCUGUGUGUUCACAUGUAAGAGCAGGCCACCAACAGGCCGGGUGGAUGCUGUAAGUGCCUGAGAUUGACGUGUCGAUUGGAUGAGCAUCACUCUACAACAGUCGGUUGUUCCUGCCAACUUGUCUGCUACCGACUCCUAAACUUUUCAGGAGGAGAAUGGAGUGGACACAUCUUUCUUCUACCGUCUUGGAAAGUCUUGAGCUCAGUCUCCAAGGCUUGGAUAGGAGCUGCCCAGGCAGAGGAGGCGCAGAAAGGUGUCCUGGCAGAGGGAGUGGUGUGCUAACAGGCAGGAGAAUGGAAAAGAAUGCCUACAGUUGUGCGUGGCUGGAAGCACCCGAGGAGAUGUUGGACCCAAGGCUGAGGAAGUGGAUCGUGAAGGGCCUUGCGUGUGCCAAGAAGUUUGUCCUUGAUCCUGGAGCAAAUGGGGAGCAUGAGGGAGAGGAGUCAUGUGACCACAUCUGCCACUCGGGGAGCAGCACGGCAGAUGCUGAAAGAGCUGGGGGCAGACAUGCCUGGGGGGAGAGAAAACCACUGGGGGAGAUGACAAUGGUUCUGCGUGAGAAAUAGCAAGGAGGGGAGCUCAAGUAAUGGCGGUCACCAUGUUGGGGGAAUAAACAGGAAAACUAUCCAAAGAUGAAAUCAACAGGAUUUGUGACCAAUAGGAACGGGGCACGAGGCCAGAGGGCAGAGACUAGUUUGAAUCCAAGUUUCUGAUUCGGGCAACAGAGCAGGUGGCAAGACUGUUCCCAGAGAUGGGGAAAUGCUGGAGAAGCAGCAGGUGCGGGAAACGAUAUUGGCAUUUACAUUACGUCCCUCCAAAGCCCAGUGUCUGGGAAGCCACCGUGGUACUAUAUAGUUGCAAUCAACAGCCACAUAGCAAUUUGGGUCCUGCUCUUUCCUCUUAGCAGUAUUUUCCAAGUGUCAACGGAAUCCUCAAAUGUCUGUCUUGAAUUUGGCCACAGAGUUUUCUAUCAUGGUGAUCAAUGCACAGCGUUUCACCUCCUCAGGCCUCUAUUCCAGACCUUCUGAAGAGGACUGCGAGGAACUCCACGGUGCUCUUGGCAGGGCCUGUGAGUGGCCUCCACAGCCCAGCCUUCCUGCUUCCUCCAAGGAUGAGGACCCCAGAGGGCCGGGUCAGUGGUAUCCACUCCAUCUUCUCUGCCACCUAGAAUGGGAGUAGUGAGGAAGUGUGCUCGGCCACACAGCCCAUGUAGUUUGCUGACCCCCAAGCCACCCCUGAACCUCAUCCUCUGGUCACCAGGCAACUGUGACCCUACAGGCUUGGAGGGAGCAAGGCCCUCCCUCUUCCUUCACCUGGGUCCCCUCCCCUUCGCAGCAGCCAUGCUGCUUUCUGCUGCCACCUCUCCCCAGGAGUGGCCCCUCAGACCUCCUCUCAAGAGGAUGUAAGGUGCAUGGGCCAAGUGACAUCAGGGUGGCCCCAGACCUGAGGACAGCAGCACCCCCACAGAGGAGCUGGAGGCCCCGUGGAGGGGUUGGGGGAAGAGGAGUGGACCAAUGGUUGUUAUGGCAACCAGGGCUCCCAAGAUGGAGGGAAGGGAAAAGGUGGCCCUGCGCAAGUGUUGCCAUGGCAACCCAGAUCCUUGAGGCCAGCUUUGAAGACAAAAACCCCACACUCCCCACUCACAGAGAAGUGCCCAAGAUGCCUCAGGACCCUUCGCAGUCUGCAGAGCCUAUGGAAUGGGUCAAGGUCUCCUAGGCCCGCAGGUGACUUCACAGACAUGUUAGGGACAGAAAGCUUCCCCUUCUCUUUGGGAAGAGGGCAGGGCUUGGCAACCCAUGGCUUCACUCAAGAAGCAUUUACUAGACCUACUGUGUGCCGGGGACACUGUGAUAAAUAGGACCCAGGCCUUGUUCUCCAAUGAGGGAGGCAGACAUUUAAGCAUCCGGGCGAGACAGUUGCUGGGAGAGGUAAAUAAUCCAACCUUUUCUGAAGAUGGUGGGUCGUAGCCACUAAGUUUUAAGCGCACGUGCUCUGUGAUCCAGCAGUCUCAUUUCUAAGAGUCUGCCUACAGAAAUAGUGGCACCUGAAGGUGGUCAUUGCAGUGUUAUUUACAGCAAUAAAGAGUGGGAAAUCGCCUAAGUGUCCCACACUGGGGGCUAAUUAAGGAGAUUUGGGUACAUCCGUAUAUGUUCAAUGUACCUACGAAUCUGAGUGGAAUAACACGAGAAAUUGUUAGCAGUGGUCCCCAGGAGCAGUGGGAUUGACCAAUAGGAUCAGAGAGGGAGUAGAUGUCACUCUUCCUUCUGAACGGUUAAGCUAUGUUACAAGAGCACGAAUUAUUUUUAUAAUUCAAGGAAAACGCUAGAUGUUUGGGAUCAUGCAGGAUGGUUGGUGCUACAAUGAGAUUGAUGGAGAUGAAACGUGUGUACACGGCUGGUUCUAGUACGGUGCAAACAACCACAUCAGAGAGGCGUUUACAGCAGGAACGCCAGGAAGGGAGGAAGAGAAGGUGGGGGAAGAGGGAAGUCUCGCAGGUUGCAUAACAUCCCAUCAGAAGGAGGAGGAAGAAAGGCAUUUCUAGGCAAAGGGACAGCAGGAGGAAAGGCUGGGCGUGUUAGGCAAUUCAAGUGGUCUCUGUGCAGAGGGGGCAGAGACGGGGGGGGGCCACAGACUGUCCCCAGGGGCAGCAGGAAGCCAUCCCAAGUUUGGAAGCAGGAGAGGGAUGGGAGGAGAGCAGAAGCCACAAAGAUAUCCGUGGCUCAGCAUGGCGGGCAGACUCAGGGGAGAGGUACAGAGGCAAGGAGACGCCGUAGGAGGCUGCGGGAGUCCCCGGGGAGAGAUGAGGAGGACCCACGGUGGGCAGACGGGCCGACAGGAAUUAGAGCGAGUCUCUCAUAAGUGGGACAGGUAGCGGCCCACGAUGUUCACGCAUCCACAGCCUCACCUUCCAUCAGAGCCAGACGGGACUCCGUGACUCACCGCUGGGGGCCCUGAGGCCCAGACAGGAAAAGUGGGGGUGCCAGGCCCUGGCUUUACGACUUUGAGUUUUCUCUGGGCCUCUGGGAGCAGGUGGCUCAGUCCUUCUAGGACCUGGCCUUUUUUAGCUUCUAACUCAGACAAGCCCCCGCCAGGGGAGAUGGGCAAAGGAGGGGGCUGCUGCCCGAGCAGGAAGACGACAACCACCUUUGAUGUUUUGGCUGCAGAGAUCCAGGCCUCCUUCCAGGGAGCUUUCCAGACGACAGCCUCCGGCCUGCUGGCCUGCCUGCAGGGAGCAUGGGCUGUCCUGGGGCACCCGGGCAGGGCUCUGGUGGCAGGCAUGGGGCCCCAACAGCUGGUCCAGGAAGUGCCUCGGUCAACUGCCUCUCUGGUGCCCUGCCCUAUGCCAGGGGACAGCCAUCACGGGGGCCCAGACAGAGCACUGCUCUCAGGAGUCAAGUCCUGGAAUCUAGUGCCUUGCUGCCCUGCCACUCGGGAAGCUGGCCUUGAGCUUGCACUGUGACAAGCCCAUGUAUGAAGGCUGAUGAGGCCACACAGCUCACACCGAGAAACGCUGCGUAAACACGCCCUCGUCCUGGGGGAGCAUCGUCCCCAAGCUGCCAAUGUGUCUACACUUAUCAGCUUAGUUCAAAGAAGAAACAAGUCUGAUCAUUGUCACCCUGCAAUGUGUACAAGCCUGCGGUUCGCAAUGUACUUCUGCACACGAUGUCCUCGCAUCUGACUUAAAAAGUAAAUUCACACCCAGGGCAGGUGCAGCUAGGCAACUUCACAGGUGCCGGAAACAGCUUCUGAGAGAUUCAGAUUCAACCCACAUAGACUGAGUGUCUAUUCAUGCCAGCCCUGGACAGCAGCAUCAGCAGCUGCUAGACUGGAGCAAGACCUGUUCACCCUGGUCCAAAAUGUUCCGCAUGAAGAAAGGGUUACCCAUCAAACCAGUCUGGGAAACACUCCAAACUCUGGCCCCUUUUGAAGAAUCGCAAUGCCUCUGAAAAUAGCAAAGGCUCUGAUAAGUCCUGCAGCAAUUCUAUUUAACAAGUUUCCUGAACAUGGCCUCUUUUACAGAAAACUUAUGAACAGUCUGCACAACUUGGGUUCCGAGAAACACAUUCUGACAAAUAGUAAUCUGCCCGAGAGAAACAGCCUAAAGGUGGGGUUUCGGAUGCUUGAAUGAAGGAUGCACCCUCGGGCAGACUCCCUCAGUCCCUCAGAUGACAAGAGGAGCAUUUGCUUCUCGGGACCUCCGGAAAGAGAGCGCAGGGGAGGCCCAGGUCUGCAGGACCCCUGGCUGUGGCCAGGCUGGCAAGCAGACGCCCAAACCUUGGCUGGGCAGAGCGUGUGUGCAGCUCUGGGACCGUCGUUUUUGGGGGGUGCCAGGGUCAGGCAGCUGGAACAGCCAGGACACAGAUGUUCCAGCCACUCUCGGAUCCCGGCCUGCACGCCUGCCUUCCCUAAUUCCAAUAUUUGGCUGCCGCUCUCACCUAAUUCAUAUUCCAAUGUCAACACUGCAUAAUCUUCCCCAAACACCAACAGCCCCGGAGCUGGGAAAGGGGAGGGGACGGCUGAUGCGCGGGGGCGGGGAGACCAAGGGGAGGGGAGAGGAGGGAGCAGGAAGCAGGAAACCCCCAGGAGCCCCCAGCAGGCAGGCAGCACUCCAUCGGACCCCCCGCUGGGCCAGCAGAACCCACGAGCCUCUUGGAGAGACAAGGCUGCGGCCCCAGAGGCACCCAGCAUCCACGCUGUACAGUCAGGGGCAUGAGUUGUGCCCCAAGCUGAGGCCUCUUGUGCUCAGAGAAGGAGCAGCAGAGCCCGCCCUGCAAUCAGGCUGGGCUGUCUGGGAGGGCGGGUCUUGCGGGAGAUGCGGGAAAGAGAGCCCACCCCAGACAGGACACUAGGGUCUGGCUGCAGCUCUGCCUCACACUGGCUGAAUGGCCGUAGGCAAGUCACUCAACCUCCGGCUUCAUUCCAUGUAUAAAAUGAGCAGGUUGCCUGUCUCUGAGACCCACAG